rnacentral:tRNA from 1 species
AACGGCAUAGUUUAAGUUGAAGAUGUGUGCUCUGCAAGCAUUCGGUGGAAGUUUCCUGCUGUUG